UUAAAGUACUCUUUUGCUUUUAGGGAAAAUGUUCAAGCAUGAUGAGAAACUGCGCCAUUGUUUCACUUACAGAAGCCAAUGUUGAGGAUGAUGCAUGUUCAGUGAAGGACCCUGAUUAUGAACCAGACCACUGCUCCGACAGUGAUUCAGACUCUCUAAUUGAAGAAAACCAAGAUGAUCUUCCUGACAGUUUUAGGAAAGUGACCUCAUGAUAGAAGUUUCAGAAUGUCCUACCAUUGAUCCUGGAAGUGAAAAAGUAUCUGAUAGUGAAGAAAGCUACGGUAGCAUAGAGAGUGAAAACUAUCCCAUGCUCUCUGGAAAGAAAGAAGAAGACAUUUCUUUUUAAGCCAUAAGGUGUUCCCAAAAAUUCAAUUGGAAACUUUAACAAACUGCAUGCCUGCUUUUUUGUGCUAAGAUGAUUGCUAACAUUGCAAGACAUCUUGAACUAGCACACAAAGCAGAAGUUGAAGUAGCCAGGGUUUUAGCUUUCCCCCCAAAAAGCAAAGAAAGGGGAUAAAUGAGGGAGGAACUUCAAAGUAUUAAUGUGUGCGUUGUAAUCACUAGUAAAACCGAUUUUGCUUAACAUACAUUUUUUCUAUGCACUGCAUAAUUAUGUAGAUGCAAUAACUGGGACUUAACAUUUGAAAAGAAGUUGUUUGUGAUUCUUUGCAAUUGUACGAUGAACCUGUAAGUUACAUCAUUAAAUAUAAUGCUAGAUU